CUGUACCAAAGAAAUGUCAAUAGAUAUUUGCCCUGUUCUUAUACUUGUUUGUCCCUUGUCACUGCCAGAAAAGGAUUUCCUUCCAGAGUGUAACUGAGCUGCUGCUCUGGAGGUGGUGAAAGACAGCAACACGGCAACUCAGAGUGAAACAGCACCAUCGCAAGCGGCACUCUGUGCCAGCCUGGAAGAUGCAUAGUCAGAAAUAAAGAUCUUGGCAAAUGGGAAAAGACAAAAUAUCGUAUUGACUGACUGAAGGCUAUUUCCCUGACUCCAUUUGACUUUGCCAGCUAUUUCUUUAGGUAUUGUUUCUGCUUAAGAAGAUGUGUUCCUUGAAUGAAUGACCAGUUGACAAAGCAGAGUGAAAAUGGACAUCUGAACAACUUUUAGGUGCAGAAUGAUACAUCACAGAAUUGAUACAUUCUCAGCUUCGCUCCAGGGCCUUAGGAGAAGGAUGAUAUUCCCAUACUAUGUGAAGAAUAGGCUUGGGAGCCACACACAGCUGUCUGCAUAGUGACCAGGUGUUAAGAUGCUGAUUCUUUCACACAAAAAGACUGGAAGAAGCCACUGCUGUUCAUAACAACUUCCC